UACGAAGGGGGCUAGCGUUGUUCGGAAUUACUGGGCGUAAAGCGCGCGCAGGCGGCUAUCUAAGUCAGUGGUGAAAGCCCGGAGCUCAACUCCGGAACUGCCAUUGAAACUGUUUAGCUUGAGGAUGAGAGAGGUGAGUGGAAUUCCCAGUGUAGAGGUGAAAUUCGUAGAUAUUGGGAAGAACACCGGUGGCGAAGGCGGCUCACUGGCUCAUUACUGACGCUCAGGCGCGAUAGCGUGGGGAUCAAACAGG
rnacentral:rRNA from 1 species